rnacentral:rRNA from 1 species
GACGAACGCUGGCGGCGUGCCUAACACAUGCAAGUCGAGCGAGUUAAUCUCCUUCGGGAGUGAAGCUAGCGGCGGACGGGUGAGUAACACGUGGGCAACCUGCCUCAUAGAGGGGAAUAGCCUUCCGAAAGGAAGAUUAAUACCGCAUAAGAUUGUAGCUUCGCAUGAAGUAGCAAUUAAAGGAGCAAUCCGCUAUGAGAUGGGCCCGCGGCGCAUUAGGCUAGUUGGUGAGGUAACGGCUCACCAAGGCGACGAUGCGUAGCCGACCUGAGAGGGUGAUCGGCCACAUUGGGACUGAGACACGGCCCAGACUCCUACGGGAGGCAGCAGUGGGGAAUAUUGCACAAUGGGGGAAACCCUGAUGCAGCAACGCCGCGUGAGUGAUGACGGCCUUCGGGUGUAAGCUCUGUCUUCAGGGACGAGUAAUGACGGUACCUGAGGAGGAAGCCACGGCUAACACGUGCCAGCAGCGCGGU